GACGAACGCUGGCGGCGUGCUUAACACAUGCAAGUCGAACGGAAAGGCCCUGCUUUUGUGGGGUGCUCGAGUGGCGAACGGGUGAGUAACACGUGAGUAACCUGCCCUUGACUUUGGGAUAACUUCAGGAAACUGGGGCUAAUACCGGAUAGGAGCUCCUGCUGCAUGGUGGGGGUUGGAAAGUUUCGGCGGUUGGGGAUGGACUCGCGGCUUAUCAGCUUGUUGGUGGGGUAGUGGCUUACCAAGGCUUUGACGGGUAGCCGGCCUGAGAGGGUGACCGGCCACAUUGGGACUGAGGUCCGGCCCAGCCUCCUCCGGGAGCCAGCGGGGGGGAAUAUUGCACAGUGGGCGGAACCCUGAGGCAGCACCGCCGCGUGCGGGAUGGCGGCCUUGGGUUUGAAACCCGCUUUCGCCUGUGACGAAGGGUGAGGGAGGGUAAUGGAUAAAGAAGCACCGGCUAACUACGUG
rnacentral:rRNA from 1 species